rnacentral:sRNA from 1 species
GUUAAAGGAACGAAGGUUAAAAACAUCACGUUCUGUGAUAACACCUUUGUUUUGCCGCU